rnacentral:rRNA from 1 species
CACGUAGGCGGCCAUUCAAGUCAGAGGUGAAAUCCCGGGGCUCAACCUCGGAAUUGCCUUUGAUACUGGGUGUCUUGAGUAUGAGAGAGGUGUGUGGAACUCCGAGUGUAGAGGUGAAAUUCGUAGAUAUUCGGAAGAACACCAGUGGCGAAGGCGACACACUGGCUCAUUACUGACGCUGAGGCUCGAAAGCGUGGGGAGCAAACA